rnacentral:rRNA from 1 species
GUGAGUAGUUCAGAGUUUGAUCCUGGCUCAGGAUGAACGCUAGCUACAGGCUUAACACAUGCAAGUCGAGGGGCAGCACUAGGUAGCAAUACUGAGGUGGCGACCGGCGCACGGGUGCGUAACGCGUAUCCAACCUUCCCGUUACUCUUGGAUAGCCUUCCGAAAGGGAGAUUAAUACAAGAUGGUAUUCAAAUUCCGCAUGUUAUUUGAAUUAAAGAUUUAUCGGUAACGGAUGGGGAUGCGUGACAUUAGGUAGAUGGCGGGGUAACGGCCCACCAUGCCUACGAUGUCUAGGGGUUCUGAGAGGAAGGUCCCCCACACUGGAACUGAGACACGGUCCAG